GUGGGGAAUUUUGGACAAUGGGGGCAACCCUGAUCCAGCCAUGCCGCGUGCGGGAAGAAGGCCUUCGGGUUGUAAACCGCUUUUGUCAGGGAAGAAAUCCUUUGGGUUAAUACCUCGGAGGGAUGACGGUACCUGAAGAAUAAGCACCGGCUAACUACGUGCCAGCAGCCGCGGUAAUACGUAGGGUGCAAGCGUUAAUCGGAAUUACUGGGCGUAAAGCGUGCGCAGGCGGUUAUAUAAGACAGAUGUGAAAUCCCCGGGCUCAACCUGGGAACUGCAUUUGUGACUGUAUAGCUAGAGUACGGUAGAGGGGGAUGGAAUUCCGCGUGUAGCAGUGAAAUGCGUAGAUAUGCGGAGGAACACCGAUGGCGAAGGCAAUCCCCUGGACCUGUACUGACGCUCAUGCACGAAAGCGUGGGGAGCAAACAGGAUUAGAAACCCUAGUAGUCC
rnacentral:rRNA from 1 species